AUUGAACGCUGGCGGCAUGCUUUACACAUGCAAGUCGAACGGUAACAAGUCUUCGGAUGCUGACGAGUGGCGAACGGGUGAGUAAUGCAUCGGAACGUGCCCAGUCGUGGGGGAUAACGCCGCGAAAGCUGCGCUAAUACCGCAUACGAACUCUGGAUGAAAGCGGGGGAACGUAAGGCCUCGCGCGAUUGGAGCGGCCGAUGUCAGAUUAGGUAGUUGGUGGGGUAAAGGCCCACCAAGCAAACGAUCUGUAGCUGGUCUGAGAGGACGACCAGCCACACUGGGACUGAGACACGGCCCAGACUCCUACGGGAGGCAGCAGUGGGGAAUUUUGGACAAUGGGCGCAAGCCUGAUCCAGCAAUGCCGCGUGCAGGAAGAAGGCCUUCGGGUUGUAAACUGCUUUUGUACGGAACGAAACGGCUCUCUCUAAUACAGAGUGCUAAUGACGGUACCGUAAGAAUAAGCACCGGCUAACUACGUGCCAGCCGCCGCCGUAA
rnacentral:rRNA from 1 species